rnacentral:rRNA from 1 species
UGUGAGCUCGAUGAGUAGGGCGGGACACGUGGUAUCCUGUCUGAAUAUGGGGGGACCAUCCUCCAAGGCUAAAUACUCCUGACUGACCGAUAGUGAACCAGUACCGUGAGGGAAAGGCGAAAAGAACCCCGGCGAGGGGAGUGAAAAAGAACCUGAAACCGUGUACGUACAAGCAGUGGGAGCACAGAGCAAUCUGUGUGACUGCGUACCUUUUGUAUAAUGGGUCAGCGACUUAUAUUCUGUAGCAAGGUUAACCGAAUAGGGGAGCCGAAGGGAAACCGAGUCUUAACUGGGCGUUAAGUUGCAGGGUAUAGACCCGAAACCCGGUGAUCUAGCCAUGGGCAGGUUGAAGGUUGGGUAACACUAACUGGAGGACCGAACCGACUAAUGUUGAAAAAUUAGCGGAUGACUUGUGGCUGGGGGUGAAAGGCCAAUCAAACCGGGAGAUAGCUGGUUCUCCCCGAAAGCUAUUUAGGUAGCGCCUCGUGAAUUCAUCUCCGGGGGUAGAGCACUGUUUCGGCAAGGGGGUCAUCCCGACUUACCAACCCGAUGCAAACUGCGAAUACCGGAGAAUGUUAUCACGGGAGACACACGGCGGGUGCUAACGUCCGUCGUGAAGAGGGAAACAACCCAGACCGCCAGCUAAGGUCCCAAAGUCAUGGUUAAGUGGGAAACGAUGUGGGAAGGCCCAGACAGCCAGGAUGUUGGCUUAGAAGCAGCCAUCAUUUAAAGAAAGCGUAAUAGCUCACUGGUCGAGUCGGCCUGCGCGGAAGAUGUAACGGGGCUAAACCAUGCACCGAAGCUGCGGCAGCGACGCUUAUGCGUUGUUGGGUAGGGGAGCGUUCUGUAAGCCUGCGAAGGUGUGCUGUGAGGCAUGCUGGAGGUAUCAGAAGUGCGAAUGCUGACAUAAGUAACGAUAAAGCGGGUGAAAAGCCCGCUCGCCGGAAGACCAAGGGUUCCUGUCCAACGUUAAUCGGGGCAGGGUGAGUCGACCCCUAAGGCGAGGCCGAAAGGCGUAGUCGAUGGGAAACAGGUUAAUAUUCCUGUACUUGGUGUUACUGCGAAGGGGGGACGGAGAAGGCUAUGUUGGCCGGGCGACGGUUGUCCCGGUUUAAGCGUGUAGGCUGGUUUUCCAGGCAAAUCCGGAAAAUCAAGGCUGAGGCGUGAUGACGAGGCACUACGGUGCUGAAGCAACAAAUGCCCUGCUUCCAGGAAAAGCCUCUAAGCAUCAGGUAACAUCAAAUCGUACCCCAAACCGACACAGGUGGUCAGGUAGAGAAUACCAAGGCGCUUGAGAGAACUCGGGUGAAGGAACUAGGCAAAAUGGUGCCGUAACUUCGGGAGAAGGCACGCUGAUAUGUAGGUGAAGUCCCUCGCGGAUGGAGCUGAAAUCAGUCGAAGAUACCAGCUGGCUGCAACUGUUUAUUAAAAACACAGCACUGUGCAAACACGAAAGUGGACGUAUACGGUGUGACGCCUGCCCGGUGCCGGAAGGUUAAUUGAUGGGGUUAGCGCAAGCGAAGCUCUUGAUCGAAGCCCCGGUAAACGGCGGCCGUAACUAUAACGGUCCUAAGGUAGCGAAAUUCCUUGUCGGGUAAGUUCCGACCUGCACGAAUGGCGUAAUGAUGGCCAGGCUGUCUCCACCCGAGACUCAGUGAAAUUGAACUCGCUGUGAAGAUGCAGUGUACCCGCGGCAAGACGGAAAGACCCCGUGAACCUUUACUAUAGCUUGACACUGAACAUUGAGCCUUGAUGUGUAGGAUAGGUGGGAGGCUUUGAAGUGUGGACGCCAGUCUGCAUGGAGCCGACCUUGAAAUACCACCCUUUAAUGUUUGAUGUUCUAACGUUGACCCGUAAUCCGGGUUGCGGACAGUGUCUGGUGGGUAGUUUGACUGGGGCGGUCUCCUCCUAAAGAGUAACGGAGGAGCACGAAGGUUGGCUAAUCCUGGUCGGACAUCAGGAGGUUAGUGCAAUGGCAUAAGCCAGCUUGACUGCGAGCGUGACGGCGCGAGCAGGUGCGAAAGCAGGUCAUAGUGAUCCGGUGGUUCUGAAUGGAAGGGCCAUCGCUCAACGGAUAAAAGGUACUCCGGGGAUAACAGGCUGAUACCGCCCAAGAGUUCAUAUCGACGGCGGUGUUUGGCACCUCGAUGUCGGCUCAUCACAUCCUGGGGCUGAAGUAGGUCCCAAGGGUAUGGCUGUUCGCCAUUUAAAGUGGUACGCGAGCUGGGUUUAGAACGUCGUGAGACAGUUCGGUCCCUAUCUGCCGUGGGCGCUGGAGAACUGAGGGGGGCUGCUCCUAGUACGAGAGGACCGGAGUGGACGCAUCACUGGUGUUCGGGUUGUCAUGCCAAUGGCACUGCCCGGUAGCUAAAUGCGGAAGAGAUAAGUGCUGAAAGCAUCUAAGCACGAAACUUGCCCCGAGAUGAGUUCUCCCUGACUCCUUGAGAGUCCUGAAGGAACGUUGAAGACGACGACGUUGAUAGGCCGGGUGUGUAAGCGCAGCGAUGCGUUGAGCUAACCGGUACUAAUGAACCGUGAGGCUUAACC